AACUUCCCUACUGGCUAGAAUGCUUAACCUGCACACUUUAAACAACUGUUUUGCAAAUAUAAUCAAUUAAGCACAUCACACUGACCCGUAACCAAGGCCUAGAAUACGACUUAUCAGCGAGCUCUGAAUCUAAAGCUCCUAUAGAGACCUUAAACUUCAAGGAACUUAAGCCUGUAUACCAUAUUCUUGCUUCACUGCAACGCAAGUUUUGAACGAGAGUAAAAGGAAAGCAUCAGAGUGUAGCGCAGAGGAUAUGCAAUUGGUGAUCUUUCAGGCAACCUUAUCUCUUGAUCAUCUGCCUCCUGCUCCCCCGCCACUACCUUUUCCGGAGGUUUAUGCUCCUCCCACUGCGGAGGGGGAGAAGAGCUUCGAUACCCAGCAGGAGCAGAUGGUGACUGUUGAUUCGAUCAUCGAUCAAGGGCCAUCCAAGAGAAUGAAAAUAUAACCAUAGUUUUCCGUCUGUUCAGUUUGAAGGGCACGAGCAGCCAACAAAUCUUAAGAAACAACC